rnacentral:rRNA from 1 species
GAUGAACGCUGGCGGCGUGCCUAAUACAUGCAAGUCGAGCGCAGCGGGGACGGGUGAGUAACACGUGGAUACCCUCCUUUAAGACUGGGAUAACUUCGGGAAACCGUUGCUAAACCGGCUACUUGUAGAUGGAUCUGCGCUGCAUUAGCUAGUUGGUAAGGUAACGGCUUACAAAGGCAACGAUGCAUAGCCGACCUGAGAGGGUGAUCGGCCACACUGGAACUGAGACACGGUCCAGACUCCUACGGGAGGCAGCAGUAGGGAAUCUUCCGCAAUGGGCGAAAGCCUGACGGAGCAACGCCGCGUGAGUGAAGAAGGUCUUCGGAUCGUAAAACUCUGUUAUUAGGGAAGCGGUACCUAAUCAGAAAGCCACGGCUAACUACGUGCCAGCAGCCGCGGUAAUAC